ensembl:lncRNA
UCUAGGUUUCUCUUUAUCUCUCUGGGUUUCUCUUUCUCUCUCUAGGUUUCUCUUUAUCUCUCUGGGUUUCUCUUUCUCUCUCUGGGUUUCUUUCUCUGUCUAGGUUUCUCUUUAUCUCUCUAGGUGUCUCUUUCUCUCUCUAUGUUUCUCUUUCUCUCUCUAGGUGUCUCUUUCUCUCUCUAGGUGUCUCUUUCUCUCUCUCAAGGUUUCUCUUUCUCUCUCUGGGUUUCUCUUUCUCUCUCUGGGUUUCUCUUUCUCUCUCUGGGUGUCUCUUUCUCUCUCUAUGUGUCUCUUUCUCUCUCUAGGUUUCUCUUUCUCUCUCUGGGUUUCUCUUUCUCUCUCUGGGUGUCUCUUUCUCUCUCUAGGUGUCUCUUUCUCUCUGUAGGUGUGUCUUUCUCUCUCUGGGUG